UCUUGUACUUCCUUGCGUUGUUUCUCCCUCUCGUAAAAGAUUUCGCGGUCAUGUUCGGCUUGUUGUUUUGCGUCUUCUUCCCACAAUGGGAUAGCUUCACGACGAUAAGCACGUUCCAAAUGGUCGAUACGCUUUCCAAUAACACGCAAACGUUCGUUCAUACUCUUAUUUUGCUUUUCGACUUGUUCGAUUUGCAUAGCUCUCAAUUUAUCAGCAUCCAAAUGCUCCAAGUCUUCGGCAUUGACUUCCAAUCCACCCUUAGCUUUGAGCUCCUCGGCCAACUUUUUAGCUUCGUUAAUGCGAA